UCCGGCUUUCACCGGCUGUCUCUUUAGAGUGCCCAACUUAAUGCUGGCAACUAAAAAUAAGGGUUGCGCUCGUUGCGGGACUGAACCCAACAUCUCACGACACGAGCUGACGACAACCAUGCACCACCUGUCUCCUAUGUCCCGAAGGAAAACUCUAUCUCUAAAGCUGUCAUAGGGAUGUCAAGACCUGGUAAGGUUUUUCGCGUUGCUUCGAAUUAAACCACAUGCUCCACCGCUUGUGCGGGCCCCCGUCAAUUCCUUUGAGUUUCAGCCUUGCGGCCGUACUCCCCAGGCGGAGUGCUUAUUGGGUUUCCUUCGGCACUGAGGGCCUAAGCCCCCAACACCUAGCACUCAUCGUUUACGGCGUGGACUAC
rnacentral:misc_RNA from 1 species